CUGGGUCCCUCUGGUUUAUAGAGGAGUACGUAUCGGAGGGCUGAGGAUGAGUCUGAAACACGCCCAGAAUAAAGGAGAGCCUCACUUUCCCCACGACUACCCAGACUGCCCUGCAGGAGCACGCUUCCAGGAAGAGCAGGAGGCAGAGCUGCUGGCCAAGUUCAGGAGGCGCCCACCAGCCAAACGGACCAAUUACAUCAAACAUGGCUGCCUGGCUCCGUUCCGUUGUCCCUGGCAACAGCUGGUCGAGGGGAGCUGAUCGUGAAGGAGGAAGGAGGAGGAGGAGAGGAGGCGGUCGCAUCAAUGGAACAGGACGUGACACCACCACAGAGUAACUUCACAGUC